rnacentral:lncRNA from 1 species
AUGUACAAUCAUGUUUGGAUCAAGGGUACAAUAAAUAUUGCAGUAGAUUAUCAUUAAUUCGUUAUUGGAAGACUGUACCUUCUCAAAUUGGGUAUAAUGGGAAGGCGGGGCGAUGUUUGUCAUAUACUGGCCUCAAUGUUAAUAAAAUCAAUACAAAAUAAUCAUUUGGUUGAUUGGAAAAAAACUUGAGUAUUAUGGAGCACCAUGUCUAAAGUAAACGCAGGAUCACAAUACAAGGGUUGAAUACGCGAAAAUUAUUAGGGACAUUCAGCAUAUCUCUCCUUGAAAAGGCUGAACAGGAAACUAAUAAGAAAGGCUAUAAUUGUGUGGCAUCUCUCUUAUACGAAGAAUUGCAGCGUAUGUUGUCUUUUAUGUCUUGAAAUUCAAUAUAAUCAUUGUGGAGGCCAGAAUAAAAUAUUAUAUCAUUGUGGCUUUUGUAACAUACAUGGUUAUUUGUGGUGGAUUUGAUGAAGUUUAUAUACUUACUUGCUGAAACGCAUUCUUAGUUUUCGCCCAACUGGAGUUUCGGCGUUAUUUCAGCAUUGUAUCAUAAUCUAGAAGAAAUUGAAUGUUUAAACAAUUAGGUGAAAAUUGUCGAGAAGAUAUCUACUAAAUUCAAUGGGAUGUUCACUAGGAAGAGGGGGCACCUACUAAUAUAGUGAUAUAAUUGGAAGACAUUUUUAGACAAUUACCUCCAUCCUCUAAAAGUAAUAAAAAAGUAUCAUAUACUCGCAUUAAAAUCUACUUCUGGAGCUGUACGCGUAAAUCUGAUUGUGUAGAAAUUGUGCAUAAACUCUUUCUAUAAACUUAUUAGAACACGGAAUUUUAUCCAAUGUAAGGCAGUUAUCGAAUCCUCGAGGAUAUAUUCAUUCGAUUAAAAAGAAGAAAAAAAACUUAUCAGAGUAAGGAAUGGAAUAUAUCAUGAAGAGCCUGGUUCUUUCAGUUUCAUAUAAUGAAUAAACUACCACUUUAUUUAAUAUCUAUAUUAAAACAAAUUUCUCCAACGUAGAACUAAUAAAUGGCCUUUUUCUCAUCAACAAUUUCGCGUCUACAUUCAAUUUUUUUCAACUCAUCAAUUGUGUAUUCGGCGUCUAAUUAUUUGGGAGAAGAUACAGAAGAAGCAAACUUAAUAUUAGGUUAAGUAAAACGUUUUGAGCGUUUCUCAAUAGAUAUCUUCAGUUUCACGAUUAAUACAUUGCAUCAAAAAUAUCUUAAAUAAAUCCAAAAUAAUGGAUUUAUUUUGGUUAUUUAUUUUUGUUGAUAUUAUUUUUAAUAGCAAAUAAUAUGCUGAAGACAUUAAAUAAUUAUCAACUAUUAUAUUUCCCUACAUACCUGGUGAGGUUAAUAUUUCAAGGAAAUUGUCUCAUUUGGGAUAUUUUACAAAUGAUCAAGGAAUGAAAAUGUGAAAGAAGAAUUCUACGAUUAAUUUUUACAUUCUAGUUUUGGUUCUGAUUGGAUCAAUGCUAAAGUUUUGGUAUAUUUUGUCAUGUUAUUCGUUCUUCAACAUAUUAAAUUUAGUUGUUAAUAAUAAUUAACCAAAUAUUAAA